GAGUUUGAUCCUGGCUCAGGAUGAACGCUGGCGGCGUGCUUAACACAUGCAAGUCGAACGAAGCACUUUAUUUGAUUUCCUUCGGGAAUGAUUAUUUUGUGACUGAGUGGCGGACGGGUGAGUAACGCGUGGGUAACCUGCCUUGUACUGGGGGAUAGCAGCUGGAAACGGCUGGUAAUACCGCAUAAGCGCACAAUGUUGCAUGACAUGGUGUGAAAAACUCCGGUGGUAUAAGAUGGACCCGCGUCUGAUUAGGUAGUUGGUGGGGUAACGGCCUACCAAGCCGACGAUCAGUAGCCGACCUGAGAGGGUGACCGGCCACAUUGGGACUGAGACACGGCCCAGACUCCUACGGGAGGCAGCAGUGGGGAAUAUUGCACAAUGGAGGAAACUCUGAUGCAGCGACGCCGCGUGAAGGAUGAAGUAUUUCGGUAUGUAAACUUCUAUCAGCAGGGAAGAAAAUGACGGUACCUGACUAAGAAGCUCCGGCUAACUACGUGCCAGCAGCCGCGGUAAUUC
rnacentral:rRNA from 1 species